CUAUUAAGUGAUGACAUGGUAGACGAAGUGCCAUGUCAUCACACCUUGUCACAGACACCCCAUUGCCAUGUCAUCACCUUCAAUGACGUGUCAAUGAUUGGGCGUGAUGACAUGACAUUUCAUCUGCAAUGUCAUCACUUAAUGAAA
rfam:Glycine max cultivar Williams 82 chromosome 14, whole genome shotgun sequence.